AGAGUUGAAGCUCCUCUCCCUUCCGAACAGCUCCGCGCACCGCCCCGCGACACAGCCCGGCGCAACUACUUUCUUCUCUCUCCUUUCUUUCUUCCUCUCCUUUUUCCCCUGCUGGGUAGUGGCUGCGGCGGGGUGGGGGAGACUUUGAAUGACCGAGCUCGCGUCCACCUUUCUCUUCAUGUCGACGUCCCUGGAAACGGCCACACGGAUGCCAUGGUUACUUUUGCCACGCUCUGCCUGAAGACAAGGGAGAAGACGUGGCAGCUCCAGUGCAGACCUCAGGAUCCUCUGUGACAUCUCCUCUGGAGAAUGGACAUGCUCAAAGUCAGAUGGAAGGGAAAGACCUGGACAGGCACGCUGCUGUGUUGAAAGGCAGGUUUGGAGAAGAACUGUUAAAACCAUAUAAUAACCACGUGAAUACCUUGCUAGGAUGCCUUGCGGUCUUUGGAAGGACAGAGGCAAGUGAAGAAACCUGAAGCUGAAGCUUCAUUAGCUUUGUGGCGAGUCAACCCUGGUCAAGGUUGGAGGUGUGGCUCAGAAGAACUGAACCAACAGAUACUUCCAGCUGUACACACUCAUUCCAGCCAGCGACACCCACUCUUCAGACCCAUGGUCCCAGGCUGCAGCAAAGUUCUGAGACUAAGGACUGUGUUCUGGGCAAGGACCUCCUGAGGCACCCAUGCUGCAGUUCCCAGAGGCUUAAGGACGGCUGCGGGACAUGUGGGCGUCUGGGUUGCACUCUGAAGGACUGUAUUCCCCAAUGCAUGGGGGAAGAAACUGAGGGUGGAGAGUCUCCAGGACAGAGCAGAAUGGUGCUGGUGUUGAAAUCUGAGACGAUGUGACUACAAUGCCUGUGCCCUUUGCUGGGAGGCUAAUCA
rnacentral:sRNA from 1 species